CGUGAUCGAGUGGCUCAGACGAAGCAACGCAAGCGAGGAAAAAAAGACGACUACCUCUUCCCCGUUCCCCUGUUGAAAGUCAACUUCGUCCUCAACCCUUCUUCUCUUCAUCCGCGCCCACUUCUUCUCAACCCCUCGUCAAUCCCCCACUAGAUCGACCUCAACGGCGGCGAGCGGACCGCCGUGAAGCUGUGGGGCGUUCCUCCUGGUAGGUGGGAGCCCUGUAACAACUUCGCCGUCGCGGACGUGUGGAUCGACGCGUCCGACGCGGGCCAUGUAAUUCGACGCAUUCGAGUUGGGCUGGAUGAGCUUGAACGCAUCGGCGAGAGGGCAUCGGCGGCGUCGUGUUGCGUCCAGACCGCGGCGUACUUCUGUUCCUUUUUUGGAGAUCGGUCACCUUCUCGAGGAUCAACAAGAGGAAAUCAACAGAGGACUUAUCUGGCGUGCCAUACAACAUGAUGUUGCUCAACUGCCUCCUAUCGGCAUGUUAACUAGCCAGCUACCGAUACUUGAGCUUCACGAUCUUGCACUCUACUAGCACUAGAACUACUUGCAGAAACACAGGCUUUGCUUGACUGGUUCUUCGUCCAUGCCAUUCAUGUGUGUUGGACAUAUUAAAAUAUAGGAAGCUAAUAGAGGAGGAAAGAAGCGAUUUGAUUACCAAGCAGCAUGGUCCUUUGGGUUGUGUUUCUUCAAUGCAAGAUCGACACAAGGAUGUAACAGCAGUGAUAUUUUACAUCGUCUACCAGGGGCGGAGCGGCGAGAGGUCUAGAGAAGCGUUGCUUUUGUAAAUCACCUAGAACAAAAUUUUCAUCUAUGGGGAGUAAAAAGCAGGCGAGGUACCUGUGAUUUUUUUGGCUUUUGCCAACCCAUGUACGUUGAUUAGUGAUUACACUAUUUCUCUGUGAUGAACUAGCAACGGACCUGCCGUUGCAUCUUUUUCACCUCACGAAAAAGCGGUUGUCUGGGCGGGCUUGUGGAAACAAUAAAGAAUGGGGACAUGGGGGACUAGGGGACCACAACUUUCCUUUUCUGGUAAGGCGCGGUAACGGACAU